rnacentral:rRNA from 1 species
UACAGAGGAUGCAAGCGUUGUUCGGAAUUACUGGGCGUAAAGCGCGCGUAGGUGGUCUUGUGUGUCUGGUGUGAAAUCCCUUGGCUUAACCAAGGAAGUGCGCCAGAAACUGCGAGACUUGAAUUCGGGAGAGGAUGGUAGAAUUCUCAGUGUAGAGGUGAAAUUCGUAGAUACUGGGAGGAACACCGGUGGCGAAGGCGACCAUCUGGACCGACAUUGACACUAAAGUGCGAAAGCGUGGGUAGCAAACAGG